CGUGAUGCCUGGCUCAGGACGAACGCUGGCGGCGUGCCUAAUACAUGCAAGUCGAGCGAACAGAAGGGAGCUUGCUCCCGGAUGUUAGCGGCGGACGGGUGAGUAACACGUGGGUAACCUGCCUGUAAGACUGGGAUAACUCCGGGAAACCGGAGCUAAUACCGGAUAGUUCCUUGAACCGCAUGGUUCAAGGAUGAAAGACGGUUUCGGCUGUCACUUACAGAUGGACCCGCGGCGCAUUAGCUAGUUGGUGAGGUAAUGGCUCACCAAGGCGACGAUGCGUAGCCGACCUGAGAGGGUGAUCGGCCACACUGGGACUGAGACACGGCCCAGACUCCUACGGGAGGCAGCAGUAGGGAAUCUUCCGCAAUGGACGAAAGUCUGACGGAGCAACGCCGCGUGAGUGAUGAAGGAUUUCGGUUCGUAAAGCUCUGUUGUUAGGGAAGAACAAGUGCCGUUCAAAUAGGGCGGCACCUUGACGGUACCUAACCAGAAAGCCACGGCUAACUACGUGCCAGCAGCCGCGGUAAUACGUAGGUGGCAAGCGUUGUCCGGAAUUAUUGGGCGUAAAGCGCGCGCAGGCGGUCUUUUAAGUCUGAUGUGAAAGCCCACGGCUCAACCGUGGAGGGUCAUUGGAAACUGGGAGACUUGAGUACAGAGGAGGAGAGUGGAAUUCCACGUGUAGCGGUGAAAUGCGUAGAUAUGUGGAGGAACACCAGUGGCGAAGGCGACUCUCUGGUCUGUAACUGACGCUGAGGCGCGAAAGCGUGGG
rnacentral:rRNA from 1 species